rnacentral:misc_RNA from 1 species
CUACGGUUUAAUUUAUUACCUCCCUGUCCUUCCGUUUUUUCUUUUGCACUAUGUACAACCAGUACAACUCGGAAGUAUCAGAAGUAUCCACCGUACUUAAAGUGAUGAUGUGCGCUAAUAACUGACGUAAAAACAAACAAAAAUAGCUCCACGGGCGCCAUCUGGACUACGCUGGACCCCUUGCCUACAUGGCUAAGUGUGCAAGCCUUAACGAGACAUCGGCAUCGAACAAGAUGGCAGCUUCGAGCUCGCACUGUGGUAUAUCGUUCAUCGCGCUGAUCAUAUAGACCGCAGUAUGUCCGGAUUCACAGAGGCUGCAUUGGAACGAAAGCUAGCUGAGCUAAACAACUCGCAGCAGAGUAUUCAGACGUUGUCUCUAUGGCUUAUUCAUCAUCGAAAACAUCACAAGACUAUCGUGCAUGUCUGGCUACGAGAACUCAAGAAAGCCAAACCGGCUCGGAAGCUGACGUUUAUGUAUCUUGCAAAUGAUGUCAUCCAGAACAGCAAAAAGAAAGGACCUGAAUUCACCAAGGAGUUUGCUACCGUUUUGGCUAAAGCCUUUGCCCACAUAUCAGUGAGAGAUACAGACCAGAAGACGCAUGCAGGCUUGCGGAGAAUUCUUAGUGUGUGGAAAGAGAGAUCUGUUUUCGAUUCUCAUCAGAUUUCGGACUUUGGCCAAUAUCUCUCGGACAAGGUGUCUGAAGCAGAAACCGUGAAAGACUCUGGCCAAGAUGCAGUGUACCGCAAGGGACAUGCCCCAGUUUCACACGAGGGCACGCCUUUAUGGAAUGAUGCCGAGCCUGCGGCAAAGCGAAAGAAGCCUUCUGAUCCUGGCGAAGAACCUUCAGAGAAGACAGACGCUGCCAAGGAUGCCGAAAAGCCGGGAGAACCACCAGAUCCGGGUGUUCUGAUCAAGGCAUUGGCAGACUUGGAGAACACAGCCUCCUCUGAUGCUGUUGUUCGAGAACGUAUAGCCAGUCUACCACCAGAGGUUUCAGAUGCCUCCUUGCUAGAGAAAAUUCAGGGAAUACUCAUGCAUGGCUCACUAGUGGCUCUCACACAGACCGACAGGCAGCAGACCGUCUUUCUGCCCAAGUGGAGGAGGCAUGCUCAUUGCUGGCCGAGUACAACAGCCGGUUGGCCCAGGAAUUAGAAGACCGCAAGCAAGUCUCGCAGAUGCUGGCCAGCUUUACGUUCCACCAGCGAGAGCUCAUGGCACUUGCGGAGCAGAAACUUGAGGAACACCGAGACAAGCUGCACAAGGUGACGCAUGUCAGAAACGAGCUAAAGUCCCACCUGCAGAAUUUACCUGACCUUACCUUGCUGCCAAGUGUCACCGGUGGUCUGGCACCCUUGCCAUCAGCUGGGGAUCUCUUCAGCCACCAGUGAUUCUUGUCUGCUCGGUUCUCAGGCCACAAUAGACUGCUUCUGGCUGCAUGACGUGCAGUUGGUCCUCUCUGGUUAGCAGCC